GACAGUCUCAGUUCGGAUUGAAGGCUGAAAUUCGCCUUCAUGAAGCCGGAAUUGCUAGUAAUGGCAGGUCAGCAUACUGCCGUGAAUACGUUCCCGGGCCUUGUACACACCGCCCGUCACACCAUGAGAGUUGGGAAUACCCGAAGCCUGUGAGCUAACUUUUAGAGGCAGCAGUCGAAGGUAGAAUCAAUGAUUGGGGUGAAGUCGUAACAAGGUAUC
rnacentral:rRNA from 1 species